GACGAACGCUGGCGGCGUGCUUAACACAUGCAAGUCGAACGGAAAGGCCCUGCUUUUGUGGGGUGCUCGAGUGGCGAACGGGUGAGUAACACGUGAGUAACCUGCCCUUGACUUUGGGAUAACUUUAGGAAACUGGGGCUAAUACCGGAUAGGAGCUCCUGCUGCAUGUUGGGGGUUGGAAAGUUUCGGCUGUUCGGGAUGGACUCGCGGCUUAUCAGCUUCAUGGUGGGGUUGUGGCUUACCAAGGCUUUGACGGGUAGCCGGCCUGGGAGGGUGACCGGGCACAUUGGGCCUGCGGUAGGGCGCAGAAUGGUACGUGAGGCAGGGGUGGAAAACAUUGCGCGAUAGGCGGAAGCCUGGUGCAAAGACGCCGCGUGCGGAAUGACGGCUUUCGGGUUAUAAACAGAUUUGGACUGUAACGUACAGUGAGUGACGGUAAUGGAUAAGAAAGCCACGGCUAACUACGUG
rnacentral:rRNA from 1 species